GAUCCACGGGUAGAACCACGACCUCCACCAGGUCCUGAUGCUACAGACGUUGUUGACCCUGGAAACUAACGAUAGUUAAAUUUACCAACAAAACUGCAGUAUCCAAGAUCUGUGUCACAUUUUGAAAAUACAUAUUCUUACUAAUAUGUGUAUUUUGUAAAACGUUUAACUUUGUUUAUCAUAAUUAUGUUUCAACUUUAAGA